AGUAAGACGUAAGGAACCUGCCCCUAUGCCUGGGAUAACUCUGGGAAACGAGAGCUAAUACCGGAUAGGUGAACGGAAGACAUCUUCGGUUCAUGAAAGAUGGGGAACAUCACAGAGGGAUGGCCUUACGGCGCAUUAGCUAGUUGGAGAGGUAGAGGCUCACCAAGGCGAUGAUGCGUAGCCGGCCUGAGAGGGUGAACGGCCACAUUGGGACUGAGACACGGCCCAGACUCCUACGGAAGGCAGCAG
rnacentral:rRNA from 1 species